rnacentral:rRNA from 1 species
UACGGAGGGUGGGAGCGUUGUCCGGAAUCACUGGGCGUAAAGGGCGCGUAGGCGGCAGGCCAAGCGUGCGGUGAAAGUCCGGGGCUCAACCCCGGAUCUGCCGUGCGGACUGGUUUGCUAGAGCACUGUAGAGGCGAGUGGAAUUCCGGGUGUAGCGGUGGAAUGCGUAGAGAUCCGGAAGAACACCGGUGGCGAAGGCGGCUCGCUGGGCAGUGGCUGACGCUGAGGCGCGACAGCGUGGGGAGCAAACAGG